rnacentral:rRNA from 1 species
GACGAACGCUGGCGGCGUGCUUAACACAUGCAAGUCGAACGGAAAGGCCCUGCUUUUGUGGGGCGCUCGAGUGGCGAACGGGUGAGUAACACGCGAGUAUCCCGCCCUUGACUGUGGGGUAAAUUCAGGAAACUGGGGCUCAUACCGGAUAGGAGAUACUGCUGCAUGGUGGGGGUUGGAAAGAUUCGGCGGUUGGGGAUGUACUCGCGGGUUACCAGCUUGAUGGUGGGGUAGUGGCUUACCAAGGCUUUGACGGGUAGCCGGCCUGAGAGGGUGACCGGGCACAUUGGGACUGCGAUAGGGACCAGACGCCUACGGGAGGCAGUAGUGGGGAGUAUUGCACAGUGGGCGGAAGCGAGAUGUAGCAACGCCGCGUGCGGGAUGACGGCCUUCGGGUGGUAAACCACUUUCUCCUGUGCCGAAGCCUGAGUGACGGUAAUGGGUAAAGAAGCACCGGCUAACUACGUG